rnacentral:rRNA from 1 species
AGUGAACGCUGGCGGUAGGCCUAACACAUGCAAGUCGAACGGCAGCACAGUAAGAGCUUGCUCUUACGGGUGGCGAGUGGCGGACGGGUGAGGAAUACAUCGGAAUCUACUUUUUCGUGGGGGCUAACGUAGGGAAACUUACGCUAAUACCGCAUACGACCUCCGGGUGAAAGCAGGGGAUCUUCGUACCUUGCGCGAUUGUAUGAGCCGAUGUCGGAUUAGCUAGGUGGCUGGGUAAAGGCCCACCAAGGCGACGAUCCGUAGCUGGUCUGAGAGGAGGUGCAGCCACACUGGAACUGAGACACGGUCCAGACUACUACGGGAGGGAGCAGUGGGGAAUAUUGGACAAUGGGCGCAAGCCUGAUCCAGCCAUACCGCGUGGGUGAAGAAGGCCUUCGGGUUGUAAAGCCCUUUUGUUGGGAAAGAAAAGCAGCAGGUUAAUACCCCGCUGUUCUGACGGUACCCAAAGAAUAAGCACCGGCUAACUUCGUG